UACGUAGGAUGCGAGCGUUGUCCGGAAUUACUGGGCGUAAAGCGCGCGUAGGCGGCGCGGCGCGACGACGGUGAAAGCCCCCGGCCCAACCGGGGAGGGCCCGUCGUAACGGCCGUGCUGCGAGUGCAGGAGAGGGAAGUGGAACUCCGGGAGUAGCGGUGAAAUGCGUAGAGACCCGGAGGAACACCGGUGGCGAAGGCGGCUUCCUGGCCUGCGACUGACGCUGAGGCGCGAAAGCUAGGGGA
rnacentral:rRNA from 1 species